rnacentral:lncRNA from 1 species
ACAUCUCUUGGAGUUCUAGCUCACUUUUUUGGUGUUGUUCUUGUACUCAUCUCUUUAAUCUAGUUCUGCCACUUCUUCUUGAACUUCUUGUUAGAUUUCAAGUCUGUAUUUUGUGUCCGUGACACUUUCAUAGAUAGUUGGUGUUUGGAAGUAAAGUAACAUUAGUUGAAGGAACCAAAGGAUGUUUACAUUUCUCGGAG